rnacentral:lncRNA from 10 species
CUUACAGAACAGUUUCCCAAGCAGCAGCCUGCCUGAUCCACCCUUAAUUCAGCUGUGCGUCUGACAACAUGUUCUACAGGAAAGAUAACCUUGUACAUCAGGUGUUUCCUGUUUCCAGUACCAAAAGUGUCUUCCUUUGGCUUUGGUAUCAAGGUAAUGCUGGCCUCAUAAGUUGUCUCCCUUUAUCCAUGAGGGACAUCUUCCAAGGCCCCCAGUGGAUGUCUGAAACCGCAGCAUACUUUUGUCCAUAAAGCAAAAUCCGAAGAUUAGUGUUAAGAAACAGGAUUUGGAACUCUCAGAACAAGGCCAUUGGGGGUGGAGAUUUCUUACCUAUGGCUUAAAGAGGCUUCCGAGGUGAUCGGGCAGCAUCAGUCUUCAGCUGCUAAGCCGAGAAGAUCUGGGAAGG